rnacentral:lncRNA from 1 species
AGUCGCGGCGCGAGGAAGACGCGGCCCCAGCCUCUGCCGCCUCCGCUGUCAGAGUCCCGAGGCCACCGCCGAGAGCGCGCCGGCGCCGCAGCCACAGCGGCCGAGAACCAGGAGGCGGCGCCGGGCGGCCCAGCUAGGGCGCUGCAGGGUCGCGAGGAAGUUUGUUGGCCCGGAACCAAGCACGCCGUCGGGCACGCUAGCUCCCCGAGAGCAGGCGGGCGCAUCCGUGGCCGUUCACAUGGUUUCAAGGCACAAUGAGACUCACUGGCCCUUGGAAACUUUGGCUUUGGAUGUCAAUAUUUCUGCUUCCUGCUUCCACUUCCGUGACCGUUAGGGACAAGACAGGUAUCCAGGCCAACUCUUUGCCUAAUCACCAAAUGUUAUUUAUAGCCUUUAAGUCAUUAAAACAAAUCUUGUUAAGAUUGAAAAGGCCAUAGAUUAAUGUACUAUAACAGAAUAAAUUACAAUUCAUUGCUUUCUUCCAUUGAUCUUCCCAUGAUGCACAUUAGGAAUUCCUAAAAUUACCUCAUUUUUUUCAUACGCAUAGUAUAUUAGUCUAUGUUUCCUUUCAUCUUCAAUAUUUACAAGU